rnacentral:tRNA from 1 species
UCAGGACAAUCCGAUUUGCACGAAUGUCUUCUCGGUGUAAGGGAGAUGCUGAUCUAAUUGAGCUAUAUCCUG